CAGUGUGCGUCCGUACCUUCAGAUGUUGCAGCGUUCUAUAUAGCAGCUCUAUCAAUAUAUCAUCGGAUAGCGUGCAGCAUUCGCUAUCCAUAUCAAAUGAUAUCUCUAUACUGUUUUCGAAAUUCGACAUUUCUCGUUGUUAACUGCGGCAGUUGCUUAGCGAGCGGAAUUUUCCGCUGCGCCCACUCAAAAAAAGACAGUUCGGUUCUUCAUUGUUGUAUAUUGUUGCUAGCAAGCAAAAAGGUCAACAGAAAAAAAGGGAUCUUUUCGGUGGAUCCUCAUUGUCAAACCUGACUUCUGCUUGUGUUCAUCGCGUGCCCCAGAUUUGGAAUGAGGCAACUCUGAACUGCUUGGCGAAAUUCCAUCCAGAGAAAUCCGCUUGUUCCAUUCUUCACUGCUAGAACUUGAUUUCGCUGCGCGAGCAAUCGUGCGUUGACACCUUUGUGUUUUCUGCAUGCAUUUAUUAUAUGAUUGUCUCUCACGCACGCACGCACACACGCACGCACGCACGCACGCACGUACGUACGUUUGUUUGUCUCGGGUGUCUGGUUUGGCUCACAUUUCUCAGUGCUCGAACCAGGCGAGCAGUCUGCAGAAAGCCAGUAGAAUGUCUGCUUGAAGGGCAAAAACAAAUUGAAAACGUCGACCUAAUACAUGAAGAGCUUAGCACAAAAGGCUGUUUAACUGCAGUGUAACUGAUGUAUGCUGGUAUAUAAUAUAGGAUUCAGCUGAGAUAGAUCCACGGCGGAUAGUGUUGAAUUCUAUGCAUAGUUGCCGAGGAUCGAUAACCCGUUUAAAAUCGUUCGAUGCCGACCUGCUGAUCCAAUGUGAACCGAGCAAAAACUCGUCGUAUGAAAUCGGUAGAGGUGAAUAAAGUAUUCUUAGAAAAGUACAGAAUGCCAUUCUAGCUUGGGCUGUAGCUAGCAACAGCCGUUCCAUCUAGAAAAGUGCCGUAAACAAGAUACCGUUCGACAAGAAACGUCUGCAUAAACGAGACACGACAAUAGAGAACAACAGAGACGGACCUGAAGUUCCCGAAGGGGCUCUCUAACGAAGCGCAAAGUUCUGUCGUAACAGCACUAAAAUAAACAUCGUGUGAGGCCUUGAUCUUCACGAUAUUGAAGCAACUAAUUGAUACCAUCGGGCUGCGAGUUGCCUGGCAUAGUGCUACAUACUACAACAAACCUAGGCUGGCUAUCUCUUCCAAAAUGAAGAGGUAAGGAAUGGUACCUCGGCGAAACACAAGAACGCAGAGAAUGCUGGUACAAUAUGACGAGUAGCUAAAAUGAAUGAAAAGAAGCCAGUUUAAUCGUCCGAACCCACGCUUCAUCGGUCGACGACGGCGACAGCCAGAGUUCUUGCCGUUGCGCAUUUGGACGCGGAAGAGGAUAACGGGGAACUGUCGUUGACACGUGAGAGCUUCCUACCCGUUAGUCUUUGGAAAAAUAUAGCUAAGAAGUAAUCGACUGGCUAUUUACUAGAUACUGUU